GGGCCCGCACAAGCGGUGGAGUAUGUGGUUUAAUUCGAUGCAACGCGAAGAACCUUACCAGGGUUUGACAUCCUGCGAAUCUCUUGGAAACAGGAGAGUGCCUUCGGGAACGCAGUGACAGGUGGUGCAUGGCUGUCGUCAGCUCGUGUCGUGAGAUGUUGGGUUAAGUCCCGCAACGAGCGCAACCCUUAUCCUAUGUUGCCAGCAUUUAGUUGGGGACUCGUAGGAGACUGCCGGGGUCAACUCGGAGGAAGGUGUGGAUGACGUCAAGUCAUCAUGCCCCUUACAUCCUGGGCUACACACGUACUACAAUGCUACGGACAAAGGGCAGCAAGUUCGCGAGGACAAGCAAAUCCCAUAAACCGUGGCUCAGUUCAGAUCGUAGGCUGCAACUCGCCUACGUGAAGGCGGAAUCGCUAGUAAUCG
rnacentral:rRNA from 1 species